AUAUGAUUAACUUAUAAUACAUUGAUUUUUAGAUUAAACUGCUGAUAUGUAAUUUUAUUUAGAGCUUCAGAGCCAAGUCCAACUCUCUCUCCAAGGUGACUUUAUCAAUCUCCUUUUCCUUCAUGACAUAAGUAUCUGCUUCAUCAAUCGCAUUUGUUGAUGAUGAAACCUCUCCUAGGGGAAAACCCAUUUCAAUCAUGACCUCAUUAGAGUUGCUGUAUGGACACAUAUCCAUGUCCCAUGGCAUGAGAUUGUGGUUUUCAAGAGGAAUACCACAUGGAAUCUCAUCAAGGAAUUCAUUGUUGAGAUCCAUUCCAUGAUAAUGGACCUGAUCAUCUGCAACCUUCAUACCAGCAAACACAGGAGAAGGAGGA
rnacentral:misc_RNA from 1 species